AUGAAGCUCCUCACCGAUCGCCUCGCGGACAUCGACCACGCCGUCACCGAGACCGACCUCACCACUCAGUUUCUCCAUGGCCUUGACAAGUGCCUCGACACCAUCCGUGUCGUCCUCGGGGACCAGGGCCUCCCGUUCGACACCGUCCUUUCACGGGUGGUUCUGGCCGAGGAGUCUCAGGCGCAGCACGCCGGCGAAGAGAGCGCUUCGGCCUUCGCUCUUUCUGGCGGACCAAGCUCCUCCACUCAUUCUGUCCUCCACUCGUUCCAUCCUCCUCCUCAUACGCAUUCCCUCCUCUGCUUCUUCUUUCUCAAAUCACUUCAUACAUGGCAUCUCAUGCUCCACGCAGAGACGGCGCGUACAGCCGUCGAUUUUUUUGUUGCCAUGCUCGGCCCAACCUCUCCCAUGUCGCAGUGUAGGCCAUGUUCGCUGCCACCGUGGAUGCUGGUGCCUUCGCUGUAUGAUUUUUUGCUACAUCCAUUUUUCUUGCUUGAACCGCUCCAUUUUUUCCUGGAACCAGAGCUCGACUUUGCUACAAUGCUAGGACGGUGGCUGCCAAGCAUUUUGCUGCAUCGAUUUUUUUGGCUGGAACUAGCAAUUAGUUUUGCUACAUCCAGCCGAAAGCAGAGCUGGAACUGUUUUUCAUUUAUGCUACCACUAGCGAAAACCAUUUUUUUGUUGUUGAAGCAUUUUUGCUGGAACCAGCAACCACGAAAGCUACAACCGGGAGAGUACAGGUUUUUUGCGAGCUCGUCGGAGGAGGUGCUGCGCCCGACGACCGCCGUGCGCCGGGGAUGCGGCGGCCGCCACCGGAGCUGUGACUGUCGAAACGGGGACCUGCAACUACAGGGACAAGCUGCUGCAUUCACGGAGCCGGCGAGAAACAAAAGAGACGACGACGGCAACGGCGGCGCCGGCGGCCGGCAAGGGCGGCGACAGGCGAAAUACGCCGGGCAGAGCUUCUAG
rnacentral:rRNA from 1 species